rnacentral:rRNA from 1 species
GCAGCCGCGGUAAUACGUAUGGGGCAAGCGUUAUCCGGAAUUAUUGGGCGUAAAGAGUGCGUAGGUGGUUACCUAAGCGCAAGGUUUAAUCUUGAGGCUCAACCUCAUUCUGCCUUGCGAACUGGGCUACUUGAGUGCAGGAGGGGAAAGCGGAAUUCCCAGUGUAGCGGUGAAAUGCGUAGAUAUUGGGAAGAACACCGGUGGCGAAGGCGGCUUUCUGGACUGUAACUGACACUGAGGCACGAAAGCGUGGGGAGCAAACAGGAUUAGAUACCCC